CGAUCCCAAGCCCCACCCACUCCAUCCAAACACCGAAAAUGCAACAAAGAGAGUCAUCUUCACUCUUUUGAUGAUUCAGGGAAAUCAAGAAGUCAUCUUCAAAGUUGCUUCUGAGUUUCUGCCCAUGAUCAUUGAGGUGUACAGAGCCUUGAUAAAUGAAAUCAGUUCUAUCCCAAGAGCAAAGGUGGAAAACUGGUUGUUCUUCCAUAUUCUUUCUAGAACCCCGCUACGUACAGGAGAAUUUGCGCAGGAGAGCUGCGCAGGGAUGCCUAGUCAGCGUGUAAUAAAAAAAUAAAAAACAAAGUGAAAAAAGAAAAAGCAAAUAAAGAUGAAAAAGAAACAACAGAGGGAAACUCCGAAACUUUCUCUAUCGCUGUUAUUCAUCUCCUGCGCACAGCGUUUAGCAUUUUCCAAACUGAGAACUUCCACCUCGUCGGUCAUCUACGUCGGCGUUAUCUCUGGUAGUUUUAAAAACUUCACCUCUGCCAGUCUUCAUCAUCAUCAGUGAUAGAUGGAUAAAGGGAAGGAGCACACAUAGGAGCACGCAUCUCCUAUAACACUUCCUACUGCAUAUCCAUCAACAAUUCCUACAACCCAGGUGCUACCAAUAUCAUUGUAUGAUGGUUUCUCAAAUUAUAUGCAUGGUUGCCAUCCACCAAUGACACAUGUUGUUACCACCAUUUGUCCCUAGUGCUGAUGGCAAUCCAUCUACUUGGACCACACAGGAAAAUUUAAUAGGGAUGUCUUGGUGUGGAUGGAACACAGCCGGAUAGUGGAUAAUAGGGAUGGAACACAGCCAGAUGUUGGAGAUUUUGCUUUAUGGUAAUAGGGAUGGAACCAUUGAUGUAUGAACCAUAUACCUCACUACUAUCUGUAAAUAUAUAACCCUUUCAACAUUUUGGUAGUAAUCACAAAUCUUGCUGUUUUUUAAUAUUACAAUUGUGUAUUUUGAGGAAGCUAAACUAAAUGUAAUAGAAGGAAGAUUAUGAUUCUUCAAUUUGUA